CUCUUUUGCGUGUGCACCCUGGGAGUGGAGACAGAGCGGUACAGAUUGGUACGGCCAAAUCACGCACCGGCAACCAGACACACACCGAUCGCCUGCGGGUUCAACACACACACACACACAUGAAUACAGGCUGAAUACAAUAAAAGAACUUUGUAUCCUC